CUGCUCAAUGAAAUUUAAAUAGCUGCAGUAUUUUUAACUGUACAAAGGUAGCAUAAUAAUUAGGCUAUUAAUUGUAGUCUGGAAUGAAAGAUUUAAUGAAAUAAAUUCUGUCUCAAAUUAAUUUAAUAAAUUUUUUUUUUAAGUAAAAAAAUUUAAAUAAUAUUAAAAGACGAGAAGACCCUAUAGAAUUUUAUAAAAUUAAUUUAAAUUAUUUUAUUUAAAUUAAAUUUUAUUUAAUUGGGGAGAUUGUAAAAUUUAAAUAACUUUUACUUAAUUUAACAAAAAUUAUUGAAUAAAAAAUAAUUUUUUAAAAAAUAAAUUAAAUUACCUUAGGGAUAACAGCAUAAUUUUUUUUUAAAGCUCAAAAUUUAAAAAAGUUUAUGACCUCGAUGUUGAAUUAAGAU
rnacentral:rRNA from 1 species